rnacentral:tRNA from 2 species
GCCGAAAUAGCUCAGUUGGUAGAGCAACUGAUUUGUAAUCAGUAGGUCGCUGGUUCGACUCCAGUUUUCGGCUCAA